GUGAGUUGGUGAGUGGCUUUCGGGUCCCCUCGGGGAUCUGAGGAAACUCCGCCCACAUGUAGAAUUGCAGUACCGAAGGGUACAAGCUGAGAGGCUUGGCAACGGAGCAGAAACGAAACGUCGAACCGGAUAUGGCUAUGAUGCACUUAGUGAGGUUGAGUCUGCCGGUUUGGAAACGGUGAAACGGCCGUCCUGCAAGUGGAAAGGGCAAACAGACGCCGAUGAAGUCUCUACCGGAAGGCGCGGGUAGCCCGAUUAGCCGAAUGCCACAUAAAACAGAAGGCGGGUUACGGCCAACACAC
rnacentral:RNase_P_RNA from 1 species